GAUGAACGCUGGCGGCGUGCCUAAUACAUGCAAGUCGAACGAAGCACUUCGGUGCUUAGUGGCGAACGGGUGAGUAACACGUAGGUAACCUGCCCCUAAGCCGAGGAUAACAGUUGGAAACGACUGCUAAUACUCGAUAGGUAAUAACCAGGCAUCUGGAUAUUAUUAAAGAUCCUUUACAGGAUUACUUAGGGAGGGACCUGCGUCGCAUUAGCUAGUUGGUAAGGUAAUGGCUUACCAAGGCAGUGAUGCGUAGCCGGACUGAGAGGUUGACCGGCCACACUGGGACUGAGACACGGCCCAG
rnacentral:rRNA from 1 species